rnacentral:rRNA from 1 species
CUCAUAGGUGGCGGCAGGUUAAGGCAGUGAAUGCUGGAGCCAUAGUGAAAGCGAGCCUGAAUAGGGCGUUUGUCACCAGUUAUGGACCCGAACCCGGGUGAUCUAACCAUGGUCAGGUUGAAGCUUAGGUAAUACUAAGUGGAGGACCGAACCGACUGAUGUUGAAAAAUCAGCGGAUGAGUUGUGGUUAGGGGUGAAAUGCCAAUCGAAUCCGGAGCUAGCUGGUUCUCCCCGAAAUGUGUUUAGGCGCAGCGGUUAAUUUUGUAUUUUAGGGGUAAAGCACUGUUUCGAUGCGGGCCGGUAAUUCGGUACCAAAUCGAGGCAAACUAAGAAUACUAAAAUAUCUUUUAACCAGUAAGACUGUGGGGGAUAAGCUCCAUUGUCAAGAGGGAAACAGCCCAGAUCACCAGCUAAGGCCCCUAAAUAAUUACUAAGUGAUAAAGGAGAUGAGAAUGCAUAGACAACCAGGAGGUUGGCUUAGAAGCAGCCACCCUUUAAAGAAAGCGUAAUAGCUCACUGGUCGAGUCGUCUUGCACGGAAGAUGUAACGGGGCUAAGCAUAUAACCGAAGCUGCGGAUGCGUGUUUACACGCAUGGUAGGAGAGCGUUCUGUAGGUCUGUGAAGGUGUUCUGUGAGGAAUGCUGGAGAUAUCAGAAGUGCGAAUGCUGACAUGAGUAGCGAUAAAGGGAGUGAAAGGCUCCCUCGCCGAAAGCCCAAGGUUUCCUGCGCAACGUUCAUCGGCGCAGGGUGAGUCGGCCCCUAAGGUGAGGCAGAAAUGCGUAGCCGAUGGGAAACAGGUUAAUAUUCCUGUACCUCAAUUUAAUGCGAUGUGGGGACGGAGAAGGUUAGGUCAGCCAGGUGUUGGAUAUCCUGGUUCAAGCAUGUAGAUAGAUUUCUUAGGUAAAUCCGGGAAGUCAAUAUCAAGAUGUGUUAACGAGUGAACUUUUGUUCAUGAAGUGAUUGAUACCACGCUUCCAAGAAAAGCCACUAAGCUUCAGUUAGAUUGAGACCGUACCGCAAACCAACACAGGUGGGCAGGAUGAGAAUUCUAAGGCGCUUGAGAGAACUCUGGAGAAGGAACUCGGCAAAUUUGUACCGUAACUUCGGGAUAAGGUACGCCCCAGUAGGUUGUAGCAAUUUACUUGCGAAGGCCGAUGGGGUUGCAGUGAAAAGGUGGCUGCGACUGUUUAAUAAAAACAUAGCACUGUGCAAACACGAAAGUGGACGUAUACGGUGUGACGCCUGCCCGGUGCCUGAAGGUUAAAUGAUGGGGUGCAAGCUCUUGAUUGAAGCCCAGGUAAACGGCGGCCGUAACUAUAACGGUCCUAAGGUAGCGAAAUUCCUUGUCGGGUAAGUUCCGACCCGCACGAAUGGCGUAACGAUGGCCACAC